CACGUAGGGUGCGAGCGUUGUCCGGAAUUAUUGGGCGUAAAGAGCUCGUAGGCGGUCUGUCGCGUCUGCUGUGAAAACUCAGGGCUUAACCCUGAGCUUGCAGUGGGUACGGGCAGACUAGAGCGCGGUAGGGGAGACUGGAAUUCCUGGUGUAGCGGUGAAAUGCGCAGAUAUCAGGAGGAACACCGGUGGCGAAGGCGGGUCUCUGGGCCACUACUGACGCUGAGAAGCGAAAGCAUGGGGAGCGAACAGG
rnacentral:rRNA from 1 species